GGGUCUGUGGUCUAGGGGUAUGACACUCCCUUAGCAUCGCCAUUAGAGCUUCAAAAGCCUAAUAACGACGCAAAGAACUGGGAGAGGUCCCGGGUUCAAUUCCCGGCGGAUCCA